rnacentral:rRNA from 1 species
UUCGUAGGCGGUGUGGCAAGUCGGGAGUGAAAUCUCUGGGCUUAACCCAGAGGCUGCUUCCGAAACUGCCGUGCUAGAGUGCGGGAGAGGCGAGUGGAAUUGCAGGUGUAGCGGUGAAAUGCGUAGAUAUCUGCAGGAACACCCGUGGCGAAGGCGGCUCGCUGGACCGCAACUGACGCUGAGGAACGAAGGCUAGGGGAGCAAACAGGAUUAGAUACCCUGGUAGCCCUAGCCCUAAACCAUCAGGACUUGGGGUGCAUCCCGUUCGGGGUGCGUCCCGGAGCUAACGCGUUAAGUCCUGCGCCUGGGGAGUACGGUCGCAAGGCUGAA